rnacentral:rRNA from 1 species
UACGUAGGCAGCAAGCGUUGUUCGGAGUUACUGGGCGUAAAGAGUGCGUAGGUGGUGCCCUAAGUCUGUUGUGAAAUCUCCCGGCUUAACUGGGAGGGUGCGGUGGAAACUGGGGUGCUUGAGUGUGGGAGAGGUAAGCGGAAUUCCUGGUGUAGCGGUGAAAUGCGUAGAUAUCGUUUGGAACGCCAAUGGUGAAAACAGGUCGCUGGGGAUGAGCUGACGCUGAGACACGAAAGCCAGGGGAGCAAACGGG